rnacentral:rRNA from 1 species
GGGGGGGGGGGGGGGGGGGGGUGGGGGGGGCGGGGCGGGGGGGGGGGCCCGGCUUGGGUGGGGUGCGCGAGUGGCGAACGGGUGGGUAACGCGUGAGUAACCUGCCCUUGACUUUGGGAUGACUUCGGGACACUGGGGCUAAUCCCGGAUAGGAGCUCCUGCUGCAUGGUGGGGGUUGGAAAGUUUCGGCGGUUGGGUAUGGACGCGCGGAUUAUCAGCUUGUUGGUGGGGUAGUGGCUUACCAAGGCUUUGACGGGUAGCCGGCGUGAGAGGGGGACCGGCAACAUGGGGACGGAGAUACGGCCCAGACUCUGACGGGAGGCAGCAGCGGGGAAUAUUGAACAAUGGGCGGAAGCCUGAUGCAGCAACGCCGCGUGCGGGAUGACGGCCUUCGGGUUGUAACCCGCUUCCGCCUGUGACGAAGCGGGAGUGACGGAAAUGGGUAAAGAAGCACCGGCAACCUAGGUG